AGUCGAGGGGCAGCAUGGUCUUAGCUUGCUAAGGCCGAUGGCGACCGGCGCACGGGUGAGUAACACGUAUCCAACCUGCCGUCUACUCUUGGACAGCCUUCUGAAAGGAAGAUUAAUACAAGAUGGCAUCAUGAGUCCACAUGUUCACAUGAUUAAAGGUAUUCCGGUAGACGAUGGGGAUGCGUUCCAUUAGAUAGUAGGCGGGGUAACGGCCCACCUAGUCUUCGAUGGAUAGGGGUUCUGAGAGGAAGGUCCCCCACAUUGGAACUGAGACACGGUCCAAACUCCUACGGGAGGCAGCAGUGAGGAAUAUUGGUCAAUGGGCGAGAGCCUGAACCAGCCAAGUAGCGUGAAGGAUGACUGCCCUAUGGGUUGUAAACUUCUUUUAUAAAGGAAUAAAGUCGGGUAUGCAUACCCGUUUGCAUGUACUUUAUGAAUAAGGAUCGGCUAACUCCGUGCCAGCAGCCGCGGUAAUACGGAGGAUCCGAGCGUUAUCCGGAUUUAUUGGGUUUAAAGGGAGCGUAGAUGGAUGUUUAAGUCAGUUGUGAAAGUUUGCGGCUCAACCGUAAAAUUGCAGUUGAUACUGGAUAUCUUGAGUGCAGUUGAGGCAGGCGGAAUUCGUGGUGUAGCGGUGAAAUGCUUAGAUAUCACGAAGAACUCCGAUUGCGAAGGCAGCCUGCUAAGCUGCAACUGACAUUGAGGCUCGAAAGUGUGGGUAUCAAACAGGAUUAGAUACCCUGGUAGUCCACACGGUAAACGAUGAAUACUCGCUGUUUGCGAUAUACAGCAAGCGGCCAAGCGAAAGCGUUAAGUAUUCCACCUGGGGAGUACGCCGGCAACGGUGAAACUCAAAGGAAUUGACGGGGGCCCGCACAAGCGGAGGAACAUGUGGUUUAAUUCGAUGAUACGCGAGGAACCUUACCCGGGCUUAAAUUGCAGAUGAAUUACGGUGAAAGCCGUAAGCCGCAAGGCAUCUGUGAAGGUGCUGCAUGGUUGUCGUCAGCUCGUGCCGUGAGGUGUCGGCUUAAGUGCCAUAACGAGCGCAACCCUUGUUGUCAGUUACUAACAGGUUCCGCUGAGGACUNUGACAAGACUGCCAUCGUAAGAUGUGAGGAAGGUGGGGAUGACGUCAAAUCAGCACGGCCCUUACGUCCGGGGCUACACACGUGUUACAAUGGGGGGGUACAGAGGGCCGCUACCACGCGAGUGGAUGCCAAUCCCAAAAACCUCUCUCAGUUCGGACUGGAGUCUGCAACCCGACUCCACGAAGCUGGAUUCGCUAGUAAUCGCGCAUCAGCCACGGCGCGGUGAAUACGUUCCCGGGCCUUGUACACACCGCCCGUCAAGCCAUGGGAGCCGGGGGUACCUGAAGUGCGUAACCGCGAGGAG
rnacentral:rRNA from 1 species